AUUAUGGCGUUGAAUUAUCGUGCGCUCAUCUUUGGUCUGUGCACUCCUGUCUUAGUUGGUCAGACGGCUCCUUCCUCCACGACAUCGAGCUUGUAUCUGUGGCAGCAAUUGGAGUAAAACACAUUUUUUUGUUAAAUGUGAAAUACUGACAUGAUUGUUUUCUUCUGUAUUUAUUCCCAGAUUCCCCUGCAGCGUGUCGCAGAGGAGAAAUAAGUUCACUCACAUGGAUUGAAGUAGAAUUUGCUGAUCUGACAUCUGUUAAUCUCAAGACUGCUUUCUUCAAUGGGCUGGAUCAGUAUCUACCAGGGCUACUGGACCUGUACAAGGCCACGGCUGGGACGCUAGCUGGACUGAGCAAGCUGUUCUGAACAACCCUCAACUCAAAGAAAGAUGGAAAUUGUUCUGCUGGGCCUUCCCCACUUAAGGAGGACCCCUCAUGGCAUUCCCAAACUGCAGAGGUAAGCUUAAUUUGACCACAUUGUUAACAAUGCAGUUGCAAUGAUGUGUUAAAGUUGGUUGUAAAAUUAUUAAACUGGAAAAAUUCACACAUCAACGCAGUCCAGUAAGUAAUUGGUUAAAUCCGGGUAGUUUAAAUGAUCACAUCCAUACAUUUUAAACAAAACAAAUUGUAGACCACACAAACAGAGGUAGCAAUGCAC